rnacentral:rRNA from 1 species
GAUGAACGCUGGCGGCGUGCCUAAUACAUGCAAGUCGAGCGAACGGACGAGAAGCUUGCUUCUCUGAUGUUAGCGGCGGACGGGUGAGUAACACGUGGAUAACCUACCUAUAAGACUGGGAUAACUUCGGGAAACCGUAGCUAAUACCGGAUAAUAUUUUGAACCGCAUGGUUCAAAGGUGAAAGACGGUCUUGCUGUCACUUAUAGAUGGAUCCGCGCUGCAUUAGCUAGUUGGUAAGGUAACGGCUUACCAAGGCAACGAUGCAUAGCCGACCUGAGAGGGUGAUCGGCCACACUGGAACUGAGACACGGUCCAGACUCCUACGGGAGGCAGCAGUAGGGAAUCUUCCGCAAUGGGCGAAAGCCUGACGGAGCAACGCCGCGUGAGUGAUGAAGGUCUUCGGAUCGUAAAACUCUGUUAUUAGGGAAGAACAUAUGUGUAAGUAACUGUGCACAUCUUGACGGUACCUAAUCAGAAAGCCACGGCUAACUACG